UCAUUGCAACAUAUUUUCAUACUUUUUCUAAUAAAUCUGCCUUUCUUUACCUGCAACUGUCUCAGUAAAUUCUUCUUAGUACUCUCGUCGCCAGCUCUAAAUAGUGGCUAAUCGCCUGAGACAGGAAUGAAACCAGAGAGGCAGGAACAGGAGGGAAACAAGGCCAGUGGAGUCAAGGAAACCAGGGAAAGUCAAGUUUUAAGAAGGGGGCCGGGCACGGUGUCUCACGCCUAUAAUCCCAGCAUUUUGGAAGGCCAAGGGAGGCGGAUCACCAGAGGUCUGGAGUAUGAGACCAGCCUUGCCUAACAUGGUGAAACCCCGUCUCUACUAAAAAUACAAAAAUCAGCCGGGCAUUGUGGUGGACACCUGUAAUCUCAGCUACUCUGGAGGCUGAGGCAGGAGAAUUGCUUGAACCCAGGAGGCAGAGAUUGCAGUGAACCGAGAUUAUGCCAUUGCACUCCAGCCUGGGCAACAAGAGCAAAAUUCCAUCUCAAAAAAAAAAAAAAAAAAAGAAGAAGAAGAAGAAGAAGAAGAAGAAAGGGGUGGUCAACUAUGUCCAGUGGUGCCGAGAAAUCCAUUAAGGAGGAGACUGAUAUGGCUCAUUGGAUUUGGAGACAUGGUAUGCUCUCAGCAAAGGAAAUCCCAUUGGGAUGGUUGGAUGGAAACUGUAUUGGGAAGAGUUAUAGAGUGUCUGGGGAGUGAGGAGUUGGAGAUGCAGUGCCAAGAAAACAGAGAAUAAAAGAAUCCGCAGAAGAGACCUAAAGAAGUUGCUUAGUCCUCCCCCGCGGGAAGGCUGUACCUCAAAAAUGCCACAUUGGAGAGAUGUCCAGUUCUCCUAGGUUUCCAAGGAAACUCUGUCCAAGUCGUGGAUAUGUCAUUGGUUUGGUACCCUCUUUAUUCACUGGUCUGCUCCGUCUCAUACCACAAUGGUAAACCCAGAGAGAUGGACCAACCUAGUUGGCCUGGUGAUCAGGUUGCUACUACUGAAGUCCCUCUCCUGCUCCUGAAUUCAACUCCAUCUGGAAACAUCUCCCUGACCCAGAGGAAGGAAGGGCUGCACAGAUGUCUGUCAGUGCAGUUCCAAGCCCCCCAGGGCCACCUGAAAAAAACAAGUGUGAUGUGUGAUGCUGACCUGGAGUGAGAAGGAAAACAAGCUUUGACUCCACUUGACCCUGAAGGAAGGAAGCA